rnacentral:rRNA from 1 species
CACGUAGGAGCCUAGCGUUAUCCGAAUUUACUGGGCGUAAAGCGCGUGUAGGCGGUUCGGUAAGUUGGGUGUGAAAUCUCCUGGCUCAACUGGGAGAGGUCGCUCAAUACUGUCGAGCUUGAGGAUGGUAGAGGGAGGUGGAAUUCCGGGUGUAGUGGUGAAAUGCGUAGAUAUCCGGAGGAAUACCAGUGGCGAAGGCGGCCUCCUGGACCAUUUCUGACGCUCAGACGCGAAAGCUAGGGGAGCGAACGGGAUUAGAAACCCCGGUAGUCCUAGCCGUAAACGAUGUAGACUUGGCGUUGGUGGGGUAAAAUCCAUCAGUGCCGUAGCUAACGCGAUAAGUCUACCGCCUGGGGACUACGGCCGCAAGGUUAAA